UUAGUUUUUGUAAGCAUCGUUCUGUUUGGACUUUAUUCGCGAAUGCAGCUAAUACAAAAAUCUUUUGAGAACAAUUUUGUCCCUGUCAAUAUUGUCGGCAAAGAGCAGCUGCAAAGAAACUUGAAGAUUGUCAGAAAAUGUGUCGGUUAUUACAGUAACUUGCUGGAUAAUUUCGAUUUCAUUGACUCGCACCUUCAGAUUAAAAUGGCAGCAUCGUUGCUUUGCCGCGUGCCGUGCUGGCUGAUACAAUAUUAUUUCGCUGUACACUUAUGUCUGCAAGCACAAAGCAUCCCAUUUAAUGCCAUCACCUUGGUAACAGAAAACGUCUGGUUAUUUAUUUUGACGGCAACACCGGCUUUCGUCUCAGAGUUAAUCAGGAAC